GGGCCGUCGCAGCUAUACAUGCAGUCGAGGGGCAGCGCAGUGUAGCAAUACAUGGGCGGCGACCGGCAAACGGGUGCGGAACACGUACAGAACCUUCCUUCGAGCGGGGAAUAGCCCAGAGAAAUUUGGAUUAAUACCCCAUAGUAUAUUAGAGUGGCAUCACUUUGAUAUUAAAGAUUUAUCACUUGAAGAUGGCUGUGCGGCUGAUUAGGUAGUUGGCGGGGUAACGGCCCACCAAGCCUGCGAUCAGUAACUGGUGUGAGAGCACGACCAGUCACACGGGCACUGAGACACGGGCCCGACUCCUACGGGAGGCAGCAGUAAGGAAUAUUGGUCAAUGGACGAAAGUCUGAACCAGCUAUGCCGCGUGGAGGAUGAAGGCCCUCUGGGUUGUAAACUUCUUUUAUAUGGGACGAAAAAGGGUCUUUCUAGAUCAACUGACGGUACCAUGUGAAUAAGCACCGGCUAACUCCGUGCCAGCAGCCGCGGUAAUACGGAGGGUGCAAGCGUUAUCCGGAUUCACUGGGUUUAAAGGGUGCGUAGGUGGGUCUGUAAGUCUGUGGUGAAAUCUCCGAGCUUAACUUGGAAACUGCCAUGGAUACUAUAGGUCUUGAAUACUGUGGAGGUUAGCGGAAUAUGUCAUGUAGCGGUGAAAUGCUUAGAUAUGACAUAGAACACCAAUUGCGAAGGCAGCUGGCUACACAAAUAUUGACACUGAGGCACGAAAGCGUGGGGAUCAAACAGGAUUAGAUACCCUGGUAGUCUACGCCCUAAACUAUGGAUACUCGACAUAUGCGAUACACUGUAUGUGUCUGAGCGAAAGCAUUAAGUAUCCCACCUGGGAAGUACGAUCGCAAGAUUGAAACUCAAAGGAAUUGACGGGGGCCCGCACAAGCGGUGGAGCAUGUGGUUCAAUUCGACGCAACGCGAAGAACCCUUACCCAGGCUUGAACAGCGAGUGACCACUCCCGAAAGGGAGCUUCCGCAAGGACACUCGUAGAGGUGCUGCAU
rnacentral:rRNA from 1 species